GACGAACGCUGGCGGCGUGCUUAACACAUGCAAGUCGAACGGAAAGUCCCUGCUUUUGUUGGGUUCUCGAGUGGCGAACUGGUGAGUAACACGUGAGUAACCUGCCCUUGACUUUGGUAUAACUUCAUGAAACUUGGGCUAAUACCGGAUAUGAUCUCCUGCUGCAUGGUGGUGGUUGGAAAGUUUCGGCGGUUGGGGAUGGACUCGCGGCUUAUCAGAUUGUUGGUGGGGUAGUGGCUUACCAAGGCUUUGACGGGUAGCCGGCAUGAGAGGGUGACCGGCAACAUUGGGACAGAGAUACGGACCAGAAUGCAAUGGGAGGCAGCAGUGGGGAAUAUUGCAAAAUGGGAGGAAGCAUGAUGAAGCAACGCAGCGGGCGGGAUGACGGCCGUCGGGUUGAAAAACGAAUUCGAAUGUGAAGAAGAGUGAGUGACGGUAAUGGGUAAAGAAGCACCGGCUAACUACGUG
rnacentral:rRNA from 1 species